GAUGAACGCUGGCGGCGUGCCUAAUACAUGCCAGUCGAGCGAACAGACGAGGAUCUUGCUCCUUUGACGUUAGCGGCGGACGGGUGAGUAACACGUAGGUAACCUACCUAUAAGACUGGGAUAACUUCGGGAAACCGGAGCUAAUACCGGAUAAUAUUUCGAACCGCAUGGUUCGAUAGUGAAAGAUGGCUUUGCUAUCACUUAUAGAUGGACCUGCGCCGUAUUAGCUAGUUGGUAAGGUAACGGCUUACCAAGGCAACGAUACGUAGCCGACCUGAGAGGGUGAUCGGCCACACUGGAACUGAGACACGGUCCAGACUCCUACGGGAGGCAGCAGUAGGGAAUCUUCCGCAAUGGGCGAAAGCCUGACGGAGCAACGCCGCGUGAGUGAUGAAGGUCUUCGGAUCGUAAAACUCUGUUAUUAGGGAAGAACAAACGUGUAAGUAACUGUGCACGUCUUGACGGUACCUAAUCAGAAAGCCACGGCUAACUACGUG
rnacentral:rRNA from 1 species